GGUUAAGCGAUCUCGCCGGGCAGCCACAGAUAUAAAUACUGUUUGGACAGUUUCAUGUCAAGAGACAACUCCUCUGGGAUUAAAACUGUGUAACCCAAUAGAACAGUUGUCGAUACCAGGAUUAACUUUGGUAUUGUUACUCGGAGCCAUGACUCGCCAUAGGUUUGUUUUUUUUUGUUUUUUUUUUUUGUGAGCGACCCUGUAGGGGUCUAUGCGCAUCGUCCAUCUACAUCAUGCGACACCUACACCUUGUUCUGAGAAUAGUCCAAAUUACUUCAGGCCUCCGGGGAUCCACGUUCCCAGCAGGUGUGCUUGGAGAGUUUACGCUGGUCUUGAAUUUUCAGUCCAUGUUCUGAAGGAGAGGAAGGAAGAAUCCUGAAGGUACCCAAGAUGUCUACACACCUCCCUCCCUCAAGAGUCCGUGUCCACUGGCU
rnacentral:lncRNA from 1 species